rnacentral:snRNA from 1 species
GAACCGGGAAGAGCCCAGC